UACGGAGGGGGCUAGCGUUGUUCGGAAUUACUGGGCGUAAAGCGCACGUAGGCGGCUUUGUAAGUUAGAGGUGAAAGCCCGGAGCUCAACUCCGGAACUGCCUUUAAGACUGCAUCGCUUGAACGUCGGAGAGGUAAGUGGAAUUCCGGGUGUAGUGGUGAAAUGCGUAGAGAUCCGGAGGAACCCCAGAGGCGAAGGCGGCGCUCUGGCUCGCAACUGACGCUCAGACACGACAGCAUGGGGAGCGAACGGG
rnacentral:rRNA from 1 species